rnacentral:rRNA from 1 species
AGAGUUUGAUCCUGGCUCAGAAUCAACGCUGGCGGCGUGCCUAACACAUGCAAGUCGAACGAGAAAGUGGAGCAAUCCAUGAGUAAAGUGGCGACCGGGUGAGUAACACGUGACUAACCUACCUUCGAGUGGGGGAUAACCUCGGGAAACCGGGGCCAAUACCGCAUAAUGCCUUUGGGUUAAAGGAGCAAUUCGCUUGAAGAGGGGGUCGCGGCCGAUUAGGUAGUUGGCGGGGUAACGGCCCACCAAGCCAGUGAUCGGUAGCCGGCCUGAGAGGGCGCACGGCCACACUGGAACUGAAACACGGUCCAGACUCCUACGGGAGGCAGCAGUGGGGAAUUUUGCGCAAUGGGGGAAACCCUGACGCAGCAACGCCGCGUGGAGGAUGAAGUCCCUUGGGACGUAAACUCCUUUCGACCGGGACGAUGAUGACGGUACCGGUGGAAGAAGCCCCGGCUAACUUCGUGCCAGCAGCCGCGGUAAUACGAGGGGGGCAAGCGUUGUUCGGAAUUAUUGGGCGUAAAGGGCGCGUAGGCGGUGCGGUAAGUCACCUGUGAAACCUCUAGGCUCAACCCAGAGGCUGCUUCCAAAACUGCUGUGCUUGAGUGUGGGAGAGGCGCGUGGAAUUGCAGGUGUAGCGGUGAAAUGCGUAGAUAUCUGCAGGAACACCCGUGGCGAAAGCGGCGCGCUGGACCACAACUGACGCUGAGGAACGAAAGCUAGGGGAGCAAACAGGAUUAGAUACCCUGGUAGUCC